rnacentral:lncRNA from 1 species
GUCUUGACAUAAACCAUAUGGCUUUUGGUUACUACCUUAUUUUUUUUUAUCUUUGCUUAAUCCUGUUGCCUCUUGGUGGAGCAUAGGCCACUCACGAUAUUUCUCCACCUUGUUCUGUUCUUUACUAGCCUCUCCAGAUCGUGCCACUUGUACCCUUCUUUCUCCAUCUCGACUGCAACAUUCCUUCUCCAGGUGUAUCUUGGUCUGCCCCUGCUACGCUUUCCUUGUGGGUUCCACUGUAAGGCUUGCCUUGUAAUGUUAGUUUUUGUCUUCCUCAGUGUGUGUCCUAUCCAUCGCCAUUUUCUCUUUUUAUGCCCCACCUACGAUAGUAGAGGGGCAUUAUGUUUUCUGGUCUGUGCCUCAGUUCGUCCGUCCGCUUCAGGUUAAAGUUUUUGGUCAAGGUAGUUUUUGAAGAAGUUGAAGUCCAAUCAACUUGAAACUUAGUACACUUGUUCCCCAUGAUAUGAUCUUUCUAAUUUUAAUGCCAAAUUAUAGUUUUGACCCCAAUUUCAUGGUCCACUGAACAUAGAAAAUGAUAGUGCGAAGUUCAGGUUCAAGUUUUUGGUCAAGGUAGUUUUUGAUGAAGUUAAAGUUACAUCAACUUGAAACUUAGUACACAUGUUCCCUAUGAUAUGAUCUUUCUAAUUUUAAUUUCAAAUUAAAGUUUUGACCCCAAUUUCACGGUCCACUGAACAUAGAAAAUGAUAGUGCGAGUGGGGCAUUCGUGUACUAUGCACACAUUCUUGUUUAACUCUUCAUCAACUGGGGAUUGGUUGGUUUUUUCCCAAAGAUCUUUGUUUGAUAUCUUCUCAAACUGAUUCUACAGGAUUCUAUAUCUUAUGUUUCAUUUUUUUU